AGCAGAAGCAGAAAGCCCCAACAGCCAGACACAAAGGGCUUGUGAUGCUCAUGUCGGAAGACUUGGCUCUUUACCUGAAGGAACAGUGGAGUGACCCAGCGUCCCGGGUGCCUUGACUGACUGGAUUUCGUUUGGGGCUUUUGAUUUCGAUCUCUCUGGCUGAGUAGGUCCACCUGAGGGUCACUCUCGCAGUCCCGCCGGAGUCAGCCAGCCUCAGUGGUGCUCCCGACCGCCCCACCCGGCCAUGCCCUCCCACAGGGCUGGCUAGGCUCCCAGGCAGCGCCCAGCUCCUCCCCGCCAGCCAAAGACGCGUCCAGCCGGGCGGGCACCAAGAGCACCGAAAGCAUUGCACAUGCCCGCCCCCCUCCCCCCAAUAGUUCCUGCCCCAAGACCCGUGCUGGCGACCCCUCUGCGGAGGGAGAUGGCCCUGAGGGGACGCUCAGUGAUGCCCGGUCUCUGGGCCACCACGCAAAGCCGAGGCUUGAGCGCAGCCGGCACCUGCUCUGUGCGCCAGGCGCUGCCAUACCCACUGCUCUCACCACCCCUGGGCUGGAGACAAAGCGCAUGAGCCACGCGCGCGGCAGCGCGAGCAUCAUUAAUCAGAGGAAACUGGCGCGCUGCCCCGGCCCCGCCACCCUGCCUCUCCCUCCCAGCCACCAGGCGCGCCCCGGAGCCCAGCCCUUACCUACCUCGCUGGGGUACCACCUCGAGUCCUAGGGAUGUUUGGCCAGAGCUUCUGGGUUUCUGGUACUCCGUGCUUACUCUCCGAGGCCAAGUGCAGAAAACAGCCCGGGGCAGCAACACCUCACCCCACCCAAGAAAUGAUUCUCAGCUUUGAGCUCUCAGAUGCCCAGGCUUUAGAGCUGAGAGAGACUACAAGUCCUGCUGCUCAGCGAGACUGGUCCUCUGGAUGCAAGACCGCCCAGAUCAGUGCUGCCUGCCCCACUGGGCGCUGAUGCGCUGACUGAGAGAAACCUUGCACUGCAGAGCCCAGAGGGGUAGGGCUGGGGCAGGGAGCAGAGUUGACACCUGAAGAAAUAAAAGCUCUGAUUUACCCAUUUGUUUUGGA
rnacentral:lncRNA from 1 species